AGCAAUCGCAUUGUCCUAUAAAUGAUAGCUUGGUGUUCCUUUAAUAUAAUAGAAAAUAAAAUAUUUGCCUUUGCUGUAUCGCCGACAAAACGAACCAGAACGAGACGAGCCACUACUAUCAACUGAACACACAUCGUAGGAAGUUUUUGGGCCUCUACCAAACACUGUUCUUUCGCGCUCUUUCACAUUCAAAUAACUGAGUCCACUCGUACAGCAGAGACAUUUCACUUUUGAACAAUAAAAACGAGACAGCCAGAACCGUGGACUCGAUAUACAUCAGGCGAUGCGGAAAAUUUUGAACCGGAUCCAACAAUUUUAAAAUUGUUUGGAUUAUGUGAAAUUAUUACGAGGCACGGUCCAAAUCUAAUUAUAUACGUGUCACAUCUGUCAAAAUCUAACGUUUUGCACGAAACGAAUGUGCCUGGCCAAAACGUAUUUAUAUAUGUAUGUGUUUCUAAUAUAUACAUAUACAUAUAUAUAUAUAUAUUCUACAUAUGCACGUAUAAGUCUAUAAGUGUGCAUUAUGGAGCAAAAAAAAAUUGCCUCUGUCCGAGAUGAGCUAAAAAUAGCAACCUAGCACCCGAAAAAUACAAGCUUAAUUUUGAACACAUAUGUACAUAUAUAAAUAUGUACUGGGAACACAUAAAUAAGUAUGAAUGUACAGACAUACUACAUAUGUACUGGCAGACAGACGAUCGUAGGGUGGACUUUUAUAUUCAUAUGUGUCUUUAGGCAUAAGUAUAUUUUUACGGCUCAAGAUAUUUAGAGCACACAUAUCUGCAUUCUGAUGGAUGUCGAACAGUGUAGAGGAGAGCUCUCCCCGCAUGAAUUUUCUAAUUCAAAUUGACAGUUGGACAGAAGAGAUCUGCUAAGGAAUUGUAUAAUUCAUGUGUAUGUGUAAUGAAUAUGUACAUAUCGUAUAUGUAUAGGUAUUUUAUCCUUUCGGGAAGGAGACCCCUACGUAGGUCCACAGCCUUAUCGGUUCUUGUAAUGUACUCAAAUUCAGAAUUAUCAAUCUGUCACGAAUUAAUUACUUAAUCAUAUUUAAUUAUUCGAAUGGACAUAGAAAGUCCUGGCAUAACCAGUAAAUAAAAUGAAAUGAUAUGGAAUGUACAUAUGUAUGUACAUGAUAGUAGUGUAAAAACGAAGCAUGCAUACAGUUCCGUUAUUAUUCGCCUCGGGGGCUGACACAACGGUUGCAUAAUCAGUUUUUCUGUCACAGAUAAAUGCUAUGCACGGGCUAUGCUAUGUAGGACACAAGUGAAAACUUUACAUCAGUGUGUCUGUGUGUCUAUUUGGGACUGUGCAUUGGUAUUGGUGACAUUCAAAAAUUUCAAUAUGACUACGGAGGUCGAGGUUGUUCACUGUUUGUCCUCUUUACGGGUAAUUUCCAUUGGAUAUCUGUAGGCGGGGAUUUCAACUAGUUAACUUAUAACUAAAACUGUGGAAACACUUUAAAACACCAACUCUCAAGUUCGGAAGACCAAGAGCUAACACAAAGAUCGCGCUAUUAUAACGAUCAACGGCAACUGAACGCAAGGAGAACGCUGCUUGAUGAGAGUGUCUAUUUGAAUUACAAAAUUCAUAUAUUUUGGCAAAAUUCCCAAAACUACAUACACUCUCUAUUUUGGCCCGGGAAAAUACUUUUAGCACGCACAAACUUUUGAGCACUUACCACCUAUCCGAUUGUUGGCGGUUGUGCUCGGAUCUCACAGAAGGAAAAUAUAUUGUCGGCCGCAGAUACAUAUAUGUAGGUAGAUACAGAUGCAGAUACAUACAGGCACAUCCAUAUGGUUGUAUGUACCAGCGUGUGCUCAAAGAUUUGAACGAACUAAGCUGUGUGGGGUAA